rnacentral:rRNA from 1 species
GACGAACGCUGGCGGCGUGCCUAAUACAUGCAAGUUGAGCGCUGAAGGUUGGUACUUGUACCAACUGGAUGAGCAGCGAACGGGUGAGUAACGCGUGGGGAAUCUGCCUUUGAGCGGGGGACAACAUUUGGAAACGAAUGCUAAUACCGCAUAAAAACUUUAAACACAAGUUUUAAGUUUGAAAGAUGCAAUUGCAUCACUCAAAGAUGAUCCCGCGUUGUAUUAGCUAGUUGUGAGGUAAAGGCUCACCAAGGCGAUGAUACAUAGCCGACCUGAGAGGGUGAUCGGCCACAUUGGGACUGAGACACGGCCCAAACUCCUACGGGAGGCAGCAGUAGGGAAUCUUCGGCAAUGGACGAAAGUCUGACCGAGCAACGCCGCGUGAGUGAAGAAGGUUUUCGGAUCGUAAAACUCUGUUGGUAGAGAAGAACGUUGGUGAGAGUGGAAAGCUCAUCAAGUGACGGUAACUACCCAGAAAGGGACGGCUAACUACGU